UAAUUAUGAAAUACAUAUGAUACUAUAAGCAGACAAUUAUUGCAAGAUGAACUUCAUAGUGUGUUUUUUCAUCAUUUUUCUCUUAGGUAAUUGUUUUGCGAACAAAAAUGGGAGAAGGAUGUUUGAUGUUCCAGAGGGUUGUGGUGAAGGAAGUGCCUCUAUCGGUAAUGAAUGUGUUUCGUUCUUCAGGGCAUCUAUAUCAUCGAAUGCUACAACUCAAAGGGCAAUAAGUUCCACAACAGCGAAAAACUUUCCAACCAUAAUGAGAAAACUAAAACCCUCGAAUCAUUAGUGAUAUAAUUGAGAGAGUUAAAACUCUCUAAAAUAUAGGAUAAACUAGUAAUUGUAACUACAACUGUAAUGUCUGUCUUUAUGUGGUAGUUUUAAGAAAUAUUUAUAAAUAAACUAGAUCAUAAUAUUAUUGAAAUGGUGUUUCAUUUACCUUAAGACACUUUAUUUGUUACUAAGUAAAUUUAUUUUGAUCAAAUAAAUAUGUAAACUGUGUUUUAUAUGUUUAGUCGACAUUAUUAUAGAAAUAAUUAAGUUUAUCUUUAUGUUGAUUCAGAACCGGUUUAUAAAGAACAUUUUAACCGUGGAAUCAAUAUCCAGUUGAAUUAAAAUUUAGCAGCAAAGGUUAUCGGAAGGAUGUGGUCAACAUUCUGGUUGGUGUUGGUGAUCUUUGCAACUAUCAAUGGGGCACCUCAAGUUCUUACUUAUGAAGAGUACCAUUCGCCUAAUAAUUUACCUGUACAUGGAGCCUCAAUCGUUCAUUCAAAGAAUUGCAUGAAGGGGCAUGUUUAUGUCAAUGGAGGGUGUAGAUUAACAUUCAAACUUAGAGGUAAAUAAGCCCACUACGAAAAUGGCAUAAGCAACUGUUUUAAUUUUUUUAAAUGUAAUUUAAUAAUAAAUUAAUAAACAAUUUAAUAUA